CGAACGCGUGGCGGCAUGCCUAACACAUGCAAGUCGAACGGAAUAGGUUUGGUGUAGCGAUACUUCGGACCUAUUAGUGGCGAACGGGUGAGUAACACGUGAGCAACCCGCCUUCUACACAGGGAUAACAGCCGGAAACGGCUGCUAAUACCGGAUAAGACCACACCGAGGCAUCUCGAAGGGGUCAAAGCGCUUUAGCGGUAGAAGAUGGGCUCGCGUCCCAUUAGCUAGUUGGUGAGAUAACAGCCCACCAAGGUAACGAUGCGUAGCCGAACUGAGAGGUUGAUCGGCCACACUGGGACUGAGACACGGCCCAGACUCCUACGGGAAGACAGCAGUUAGGAAUAUUCGUCAAUGGGGGAAACCCUGAACGAGCAAUGCCGCGUGAGUGAUGAAGGUCCUUUGGAUUGUAAAACUCUGUUGUAUGGAAAAAACGACCAGGUUAGGAAAUGAACUUGGAGUGAUGGUACCAUACCAGAAAGCCCGGCUAACUACGUGCCAGCCGCUGC
rnacentral:rRNA from 1 species